AGCUCCCUGGUAUAGCGGUCUAAUACGGACUGAUUCUAUUAAGGUGUUAUCUAAGGUUCCGAGUUCGAUUCCCGAUGGGAGCUA
rnacentral:tRNA from 1 species